CCAGCUCCAAUAGCGUAUAUUAAAGUUGUUGCAGUUAAAAAGCUCGUAGUUGGAUUUCUGGUAGGAUAACUUUGCCCUCUUGAUGAGUGCGCAGAGUGAUCCUGCCAUCCUUCUGUUAACCCUUCAGACUUUUCUUAGUUUGUUGGGGGCUCAGAUAUUUUACCUUGAGAAAAUUAGAGUGUUUCAGGCAGGCUAGCGCCGGAAUACAUUAGCAUGGAAUAAUAGAAUAGGACUUUUACCUCUUCUGUUGGUCUGAGGGGUUCAAGUAAUGAUUAAUAGGGAUAGUUGGGGGCAUUAGUACUUAACUGUCAGAGGUGAAAUUCUCGGAUUUGUUAAAGACUAACUUAUGCGAAAGCAUUUGCCAAGGAUGUUUUCA
rnacentral:rRNA from 1 species